UUAUGAGAGUUUGAUCCUGGCUCAGGACGAACGCUGGCGGCGUGCCUAAUACAUGCAAGUCGAACGCUUUUUCUUUCACCGGAGCUUGCUCCACCGAAAGAAAAAGAGUGGCGAACGGGUGAGUAACACGUGGGUAACCUGCCCAUCAGAAGGGGAUAACACUUGGAAACAGGUGCUAAUACCGUAUAACACUAUUUUCCGCAUGGAAGAAAGUUGAAAGGCGCUUUUGCGUCACUGAUGGAUGGACCCGCGGUGCAUUAGCUAGUUGGUGAGGUAACGGCUCACCAAGGCAACGAUGCAUAGCCGACCUGAGAGGGUGAUCGGCCACACUGGGACUGAGACACGGCCCAGACUCCUACGGGAGGCAGCAGUAGGGAAUCUUCGGCAAUGGACGAAAGUCUGAC
rnacentral:rRNA from 1 species